rnacentral:rRNA from 1 species
UACAGAGGUCCCGAGCGUUGUUCGGAUUCACUGGGCGUAAAGGGUGCGUAGGUGGCCUAAAAAAGUUUGAUGUGAAAGCUCAGGGCUUAACCCUGAAAUGGCAUUGAAUACUGUUGGGCUGGAGGUUUGGAGGGGGGACUGGAAUUCUUGGUGUAGCAGUGAAAUGCGUAGAUAUCAAGAGGAACACCAGUGGCGAAGGCGAGUCCCUGGACAACACCUGACACUGAGGCACGAAAGCUAGGGGAGCAAACAGG